rnacentral:rRNA from 1 species
ACGGGGUGCACAGGCGCGAAAACUUCACACUGUGCGAAAGCACGAUGAGGGAAUCCCAAGUGCCAGCUCGUAAGAGUUGGCUGUUUUUCUGUCUAAAACACAGAGAGAGUAAGAGCUGGGUAAGACGGGUGCCAGCCGCCGCGGUAAUACCUGCAGCUCAAGUGGUGACCGUUAUUAUUGGGCCUAAAACGUCCGUAGCCGGUUUAGUAAAUGCCUGGGUAAAUCGUGUAGCUUAACUAUACGAAUUCCGGGUAGACUGCUGAACUUGAGACCGGGAGAGGCUAGAGGUACUCCUGGGGUAGAGGUGAAAUUCUGUAAUCCUGGGGGGACCACCAGUGGCGAAGGCGUCUAGCUAGAACGGACCUGACGGUGAGGGACGAAGCCCUGGGGCGCAAACCGGAUUAGAUACCCGGGUAGUCCAGGGUGUAAACGCUGCUUGCUUGAUGUUAGUUGGGCUCCGAGCCCAAUUAGUGUCGGAGAGAAGUUGUUAAGCAAGCUGCCUGGAAGUACGCCGCAAGAC